UACAGAGGGGGCAAGCGUUAUUCGGAAUUAUUGGGCGUAAAGGGCGCGUAGGCGGCCAUUCAAGUGACGGGUGAAAGCCCUCGGCUUAACCGAGGAACUGCCUGUCAGACUGGAUGGCUUGAGACCGGGAGAGGUGAGUGGAAUUCCCAGUGUAGCGGUGAAAUGCGUAGAUAUUGGGGGGAACACCAGUGGCGAAGGCGGCUCACUGGACCGGAACUGACGCUGAGGCGCGAAAGCGUGGGGAGCAAACAGG
rnacentral:rRNA from 1 species